CAGGACGAACGCUGGCGGCGUGCUUAACACAUGCAAGUCGAACGGAAAGGCCCAGCUUGCUGGGUACUCGAGUGGCGAACGGGUGAGUAACACGUGGGUGAUCUGCCCUGCACUCUGGGAUAAGCCUGGGAAACUGGGUCUAAUACCGGAUAUGACCAACUGUCUCAUGGUGGUUGGUGGAAAGCUUUUGCGGUGUGGGAUGGGCCCGCGGCCUAUCAGCUUGUUGGUGGGGUAAUGGCCUACCAAGGCGACGACGGGUAGCCGACCUGAGAGGGUGAUCGGCCACACUGGGACUGAGACACGGCCCAGACUCCUACGGGAGGCAGCAGUGGGGAAUAUUGCACAAUGGGCGCAAGCCUGAUGCAGCGACGCCGCGUGAGGGAUGACGGCCUUCGGGUUGUAAACCUCUUUCACCAGGGACGAAGCGUGAGUGACGGUACCUGGAGAAGAAGCACCGGCCAACUACGUG
rnacentral:rRNA from 1 species